rnacentral:sRNA from 1 species
AUAUGAUGCCCAUCAGAGUGCUUCGUCUAGGUGGGAUCAGGCUUUCAAGAGUCCAUGGGAACAUGCAGGUUAGCUAUAUGAUUACUGGUAAGGCUGAGCAGUCCCUGGCCUCAGACUUUAGGCAUUUCUUUUGCUCUGGUGCUCUGUCCCAGCAGCAGUUCCUUUUCUCUGUUCUUUGGGGGAAACAGAGAUACACAGUUUUCAUUUCUGAAUCUUCAAAGGGAGAGAGACAAGGAUCCCUGUGGCCCAAACAGGCUUCCCUUGCCUUUGGGCUGUGCUUGGUCUUUGAAGAUUCUCAUAGGAAUAGAAGGGAAUGUGCUUGUGGGGCCCUGGGGAGCAAGUGCCUGCAGAGAUGGGGUCUGCUCAGUAGCUGCUCACCCCCAUUCCAUGGAUCUGGCCUGGCAUAGGGGCAGAGCUGCUGGGUUUGUUCCCCUGCCCUUUACAUCCCCUGAGGGGGACAGUUAGAAGCAUAGGACUGCUUUCCAUGAGAGCCUGGCAUGGAAUUGGGGGCUGAUUCUACUCUCUCACCUUCUGUUUCAGUGACAUCCCGGAGACUGUGCCUUUGUCCACUGUCAAUAGACAGUGUUCGUCGGGGCUACAGGCAGUGGCCAGCAUAGCAGGUGGCAUCAGAAAUGGGUCUUAUGACAUUGGCAUGGCCUGUGGGGUGGAGUCCAUGUCCCUGGCUGACAGAGGGAACCCUGGAAAUAUUACUUCGCGCUUGAUGGAGAAGGAGAAGGCCAGAGAUUGCCUGAUUCCUAUGGGGAUAACCUCUGAGAAUGUGGCUGAGCGGUUUGGCAUUUCACGGGAGAAGCAGGAUACCUUUGCCCUGGCUUCCCAGCAGAAGGCAGCAAGAGCCCAGAGCAAGGGCUGUUUCCAAGCUGAGAUUGUGCCUGUGACCACCACGGUCCAUGAUGACAAGGGCACCAAGAGGAGCAUCACUGUGACCCAGGAUGAGGGUAUCCGCCCCAGCACCACCAUAGAGGGCCUGGCCAAACUGAAGCCUGCCUUCAAGAAGGAUGGUUCUACCACAGCUGGUGAGACUGGUCCGGGGUGGGGGUGUGAGAAAGGCCAUGGCCAUGCGGGGUGCUGUACUCUGGGAACCUGGAAUAGACCAGGCCCCUCUGCAAAGUAGAAGUGGGAGGGCUGGGAUCUCCUCAGCCCCACCCCGAUGCCUUCUUACCCCAACAGUUUGCCCCUAGGAAACUCUAGCCAGGUGAGUGAUGGUGCAGCUGCCAUCCUGCUGGCCCGGAGAUCCAAGGCAGAAGAGUUGGGCCUUCCCAUCCUUGGGGUCCUGAGGUCUUAUGCAGUGGUUGGGGUCCCACCUGACAUCAUGGGCAUUGGACCUGCCUACGCCAUCCCCGUAGCUUUGCAAAAAGCAGGUAAGGUGGCUCCUUCACAUCGUAUCUGGGUCCCACCUGGAUCCUGCAGCUGCCUUGCAUGCUGUUGCCAGGGGCAUGAGGGUGGUCCUGUGGGUGCUGCAGAGUGGAGGUGGGACAGGCUAGUGUCCCAUACUUCAAGCCUUUCCUGACCCCACAGCUGGGAUUGGCUCACCCUUCUGGAAGAGACACACACCAGGCAGCCUGUAGGCCCAUGGAUGGGGUGGGCCCCAGGGGAGGCAGAGGGCCAGUGUGUCAGCUCAGGUCUUUACCUUGUCUGCAGGGCUGACAGUGAGUGACGUGGACAUCUUCGAGAUCAAUGAGGCCUUUGCAAGCCAGGCUGCCUACUGUGUGGAGAAGCUACGACUCCCCCCUGAGAAGGUGAACCCUCUGGGGGGUGCAGUGGCCUUAGGGCACCCACUGGGCUGCACUGGGGCACGACAGGUCAUCACGCUGCUCAAUGAGCUGAAGCGCCGUGGGAAGAGGUAAGGCUUUGCUCCUGGCGGUGGGGUCAUGGGGGGAUACCCAAGUUAGGGCAUCUGAAGGGCAGGGGAUAGAGGUAGGUGGGCUUUGGAUCUUAGUCUCGACAGACACAGUCCUGAGCACCAUAAUCCCAGAUGUUGAAAUCCCAAAAGAUCAAAGUCCCUAAGGUCUUGGCUGGUCCAGAGGUAGUGAGUUAUCUUGAUUGUUCAGUUACAGAUCAAACUCCAUGUUCUACUCUUUACCCCCUUCUUACUUCUACACUUGACUAGUCAAGGAGAAAAAUUCUUACUGUCUAAAAUCCCAAAAAUCACAAUCUCAAAAGAUUAAAAUCCCGAAUGUUGAAAUCCUAAUGUUGAAUUCACGUUAUGAAUUCUAGGGAAGGGAUUAGUGCAUUUUCUGCUGUAUGCAGGAUAGUGCAUCAUAUUAGUUAUACCAUGUAACUAAUAUGAUGCAACCAUUACUUUGUUACUGUCUUUAUUUGAAUUAAGUAUGGUUUAAGGAGAUGUGAAUGGGUGCUAAGUUGACAAGGAAUGGACUUAAUUUUGGGAAUACCUAGAAACCUGACAAAGCAUUGUUUUGGGUGUGUCUGUGAGGGUGUUUGCAGAGGUUAGAGUGUGCAUCUGAGUGGACCAGGUGGGGAAGAUCCACCCUCAGUGUUGGCAGGCACCAUCUAAUUGCCUGGGGCCCUGGAGAGAACAAAUACAGAAGGUAAACUGUCUCUCUCAGAGCUGGGACACACUUUUUUUCUGCCUUGGACAUCAGAAAUUUGAUUCCAUGAAAGUGCAUUAUCACAUUGACUUUGUAAGCCUUGUGCAUGUACAUAAAAAUGUUGAAACUUCCUCAGUAAAAGAGGUGUGCUGUUUGUGCACCUGCAUUUGUGAAAGACAAAAUUUCUCAAGAUCUUGGUUUGUUGGGUGACUACUUGUGCAGUGGUGACCCAUCACAGGUUGGUUGGUUUGUUGAGACAGGGUCUUAAUCUGGCGCCCAGGCUGGAGUGGAGUGGCUCCAUCUCGGCUCACUGCAACCUCUGCUUCCCUAACUCAAGCAAUCCUCCCACCUCAGCCUCCUGAGUAGCUGAGACUAUACGUGGGUGCCACCACACCCAGCUAAUUUUUUGUAUUUUUUGUAGAGACAGGGUUUUGCUACGUUGCCCAGGCUGGUCUCGAACUCCUGGGCUCAAGUGAUCCUCCCACCUUAGCUUCCAAAGUGCUGGGAUUACAGGUGUGAGCCACAGUGCCUGGCUCCAUCACAGUUUUUGAUCAAUCUCAUCAAAAGACGUAGGUUGUCCAUCAUGGCAUUCAUAUGACUGCAGUUAUAAAGCUGGGUGCACAUGAUUACCAGCAGUUUAUACAGUUUGCUUUUAACCUAUUUAUGAAUACAGUUUGUCUGUUUAUAAUUGUUAUACUCCUGUGACUAUUGUUAGCAUACCUGAGUGUUUAUGCUUGCAAAAAUUUGUAAUUAUUUCCUAUUUUAUUGUGUAAAGUAGCCUGUGAAGUGUUCUGUUGUUUUUGUUUCUCAAAUAAAUCCCCUUUUAAAAAUGUACAUUUUUUUUUUUUUGACAUGGAGUCUCACUCCGUUGUCCAGGCUGGAGUGCAGUGGUGUGAUCUCGGCUCACUGCAACCUCUGCCUUUUGGGUUCAAGCAAUUUUCCUGCCUCAGCCUCCUGAGUAUCUGGGAUUAUAGGUGUCUGCCACCACACCCAGCUAAUUUUUGUAUUUUUAGUGGAGACAGGGUUUCACCAUGUUGGCGAGGCUGGUCUUGAACUCCUGACCUCGUGAUCCUCCCGCCUCGGCCUCCCAAAGUGUUGGGAUUACAGGUUUGAGCCACCGCGCCUGGCCUAAAAAUGUAAAUAUCUUUUAAAUCAAUCUUUUAAAAAAGUUUUUUUCUAAGAUGGGUCUUGCUAUAUUGCCCAGGCUGGUCUUGAACUCCUAGGCACAAGUGAUCCUCUUGCCUCAGCCUGCUGAAUAGCUGGGACUACAAAUAGAUGCCACCAUGCCAGGCUUCCAAAUUAUUUUUUCCAGAAUUAUAUUUUCAGGAUUUUGAUCUUUUAGGAUUGUGAUUUUCAGGAUUUUAGACUUUAGGGACUUUGUUCUUCCAGGAUUUCAACAUUUGGGAUGAUUGUGUUUGGGAUUGUGUCUUUUGGGAUUAUGAUCGAUCCCUGGGGAGGGGAACAUGCACACAGAAACACCCUGAACUGAGGAUGUAGGGUCAUGAUCCCUGUUUUCCUUAAGGGCCAGCCUUGAAAGGUAUACUAGCCUGCAGUGGGCAUCUGUCACCGUGUGUGUGCCCAAGUGGGUACCGCUUGCCCACAGAUCUGGUCUGAUGGUUUUGCAUCCUACUUGUCCAUGAAGUCCUUCUGGCUCAGCCUGGUCUGGAGGUAACUUGGUGGGUGCCUUUGCCCAGCCAAUUAAGUUUUGUUUUCACAGGGCAUAUGGAGUGGUGUCCAUGUGCAUCGGGACUGGAAUGGGAGCCGCUGCCGUCUUUGAAUACCCUGGGAACUGAGUGAGGUCCCAGCCUGGAGGUGCUACGCAGACAGUCCUGCUGCUCUAGCAGCAAGGCAGUAACAUCACAAAAGCAAAACUACAUGGGAAAACUCAGCACUGGUGGUGGUGGCAGUGGACAGAUCAAGGCACUUCAACUCAUUUGGAAAAUGUGAACACUGGUGACAUGGUAUAGGAGUGGGUGGGGUGUUGAGCCACCCAUCGGACCCUCUUUAGCUGUGCAAGACAAAAGCAGCCUGGGUCACCCAGGCCACAAGGCCAUGGUUAAUUCUUAAGGCAAGGUGAAUCCAUGGAUGAGAAGUGCAAUGGGCAUAGUAAAAGUGCAUGAAUUU